rnacentral:rRNA from 1 species
GUUAGGAAUAUUGGACAAUGGGCGCAAGCCUGAUCCAGCCAUGCCGCGUGAGUGAUGAAGGCCCUAGGGUUGUAAAGCUCUUUCACCGGAGAAGAUAAUGACGGUAUCCGGAGAAGAAGCCCCGGCUAACUUCGUGCCAGCAGCCGCGGUAAUACGAAGGGGGCUAGCGUUGUUCGGAAUUACUGGGCGUAAAGCGCACGUAGGCGGACAUUUAAGUCAGGGGUGAAAUCCCGGGGCUCAACCCCGGAACUGCCUUUGAUACUGGGUGUCUGGAGUAUGGAAGAGGUAAGUGGAAUUCCGAGUGUAGAGGUGAAAUUCGUAGAUAUUCGGAGGAACACCAGUGGCGAAGGCGGCUUACUGGUCCAUUACUGACGCUGAGGUGCGAAAGCGUGGGGAGCAAACAGGAUUAGAAACCCGGGUAGUCC